ACUCUGGGCUUCAAACCGGCUCCAAUGAAACCAACAGCAUGGUGAGGGUACUUCUGCCUCAGGUGGUCCAGGAACACCUCCUUCUUCCUCUCCACCUCAGAGUGCUGCAUUAUUAGGCUGUCCAGCUCGCUGUCCCUGCUGCUGGUAGCAUAGCUUCGGGACGCUCAGUGCUGCUGUCCACAGCAGAAGAAGAAGAAGAAGAAGAAGAGGAGCCUCUGGAUGGGGAGUGUCCUGUGUCUGGGUAUAGCAGAAAAAACAAGAUGAGGGUACAGAGAAAGGAUGAAAGAGAUGAAAAUAGAGGACAGGACAAGAAGAACAGGGGCAAAUAAAGCAGAAAAGCAAAUAUGACAGGGUGAACUUUACAGCUACAUUUUGAAAUGUUCACAUUUGUCAGGUUGUAACUGCUAGUAUGUGUUAUCCUUUUUCACUUUGACAUAAUACAACUAAAUAUGUACAACUAAAUGGGUAUUAUGUAAAUAGAUUUUAAUGUGUCUCUUGUGUUCAGUCUCACUUCCGUUCAAACUGCAUAUAAACUCUGGAAACAUUUA